AUCCCAGACAAACUUUUCAAUGUUUAUCUGAUUCAUGGGAGGCAGACAUUGAUUGUGGGAGUUCGCUGAUAGCACCUUUUGUCUUUAAAAAGGUCUGCUAAUAGUAUCUUGCCAUACAAAA